rnacentral:rRNA from 1 species
AUUGAACGCUGGCGGCAGGCCUAACACAUGCAAGUCGAACGAGUGGCGGACGGGUGAGUAAUGUCUGGGAAACUGCCUGAUGGAGGGGGAUAACUACUGGAAACGGUAGCUAAUACCGCAUACCAUCGGAUGUUCCCAUGUGGGAUUAGCUAGUAGGUGGGGUAAAGGCUCACCUAGGCGACGAUCCCUAGCUGGUCUGAGAGGAUGACCAGCCAAAUGGGAAAGGAGAGAAGUUCCAGACUCCUACGGGAGGCAGCAGUGGGGAAUAUUGCACAAUGGGCGCAAGCCUGAUGCAGCCAUGCCGCGUGUAUGAAGAAGGCCUUCGGGUUGUAAAGUACUGGCAGCGGGGAGGCGUUACCCGCAGAAGAAGCACCGGCUAACUCCGUGCCAGCAGCCGCGGUAAUUC